AAACACAAGGACACGGACUAUACUAAAAUCCCAAAGAAUUUCCGUUAUGUAUUUAAUUAAUACACUUUUUAUUUGUGUGUAUAAACAAAUGGUUUUAAUCUUAUAAGGAAGGCUGUGACAACAACGGCUCGUUCUAUUGUUAUGGCGCUGCUCGGCGGUUGGACGAGCACUGUGUGGACAGCGCAUGCGCGAACAUCUUGUUUCCCGUCCGCCGGCAGGUGCGGGACGCUGUGCAUUGUUGUACGAUUUCCCGCCAAUAUUGCACUCGUCCCGGCCUCCUGGAGCGCGAGGACACCACAAGCUGGUCUGAACUAGAUAUGGCCGGAUUCAUUAGUGAUGUCAGUGGACGCGCGUGAACCACAGCACAGAAGCAGCAACAAUACUGACCAUGGUUGUGCUAUUGGUACAUGAAUAAGGGCAGGAACUUUUGUACUCUGACUGUCUUUAACACCCUCCCUCAUAAAAAAAGUAAAAGCAAAAGAUUAGGGACAAAACAAUACAAAUAUUAUUUUAAUACAAGUAAAAAGCCUUCCGAGGCACAAACUAUUUUGUAGUAGUCUUAAUCUUGCAAUUUAAAUGGAGCUGUUAUAUAAUUACGCCUUAGUUAUAAUACGUGUUAGAGUCACAAGAUAGCCGAGAAUCAGCACUGUGAACAACCGUCACAAUGAUUGUAACCAAAGAAAAAAAAUGUUUCAUCACAUUGUAUAUCUGAAGCUAAUUAGUUUUAAUUAUAUGUAUAUUUAAUGGUGGUCUAUUUCACCUGCAGGUUUUUCAUUGUACAGUUGGGACAGGUCUUACACAGGAUGGCUCCUUACAUGUUAUUUUUGGCAUAUCACUUUCCUAUAUAUUUAAAGGAUUAAAUUGAUAUUUACAGUAAUGGGAUGACAGAUUAACAGCAAGAAGUUAGAUGUACAAAUCAGUGAUCAUUAACACAUGGUCAUCUUUACACAUUUUCCCUUUCACUUGUUCUCUCCCACAUCAUUACACACACAUACGCGCGCAUUCACACACACAUGCACACACACAUACACACGCACAUACACACGCAGACACGAAUACAGCGUUUUGCUUUUUACAUUGACCUGAGGCACUUCCUUACUACAACAGUCUCAUUCAUACAAUAAAAAGUCAGUUGUUGAUUUCUCUACUUUGAUUUUGUGUCUUCAGACGGCUGGUGUCAUUUUCUCUUUUUUUUUGAUCUUGUGUUCCCUUUCGCACAAGAGCUUGACAGUCUGGCCUGUGCACAGUGGCUGGUUUGCAGACCCAGAGCAAAUGUAGAGACUCUGUGAGUGUUUCUGUAUGAAGAUGCAGUGUAGAUCGGGGUGGCCAGCUUUGAUUCUCCCACUUCUCACACAUGAAUGUGCAUGAAUUGUUUAUGCUGUGAUUCAAAGUCCUCCGGGACUGUGUCUGAAAAAAGACGGAUAUAAUUAUUUUAUAAAUAUUCAGCCAUAGAGUAAAUUACCUAUACUCAUUCAUUUCUUAUUCUAUCAUUAAUGACUUUUAUUAUCUCAGUCACUGCAGACCAUUACAUGAUAUAUGAAAAACUGGCAUUUGACAAUUCACUGGAUGUUUAUCUGAGAGCAUUUUAAGGGUAGCGUACCAUUGCAUCGGUAGCGUAGGUUAGACCAAAUGAUAUUCUCUUGUGAAAAGCAGAAUACUCCAAGCCGACCUCCUCUCAUAGUUGUGUCAACCACUACAUCGGAGUCAGCCACCAAAUCCAUUCCCUCGUAGAGUUUUACUCUGCCACACAAAUACAUACUUAAGUUAUAGAAUUUGUAUAUUUUAACUCUUAUAAUUCUGGUCUGGAGUUGACCCACAGACUUCUGGGAUUGAUUCUGAAGUAAUAAUAAUAACAACAAUAUUACAGACAGACAGACAGACAGACAGACAGACAGACAGACAGACAGACAGACAGAUAGAUAGAUAGAUAGAUAGAUAGAUAGAUAGAUAGAUAGAUAGAUAGAUAGAUAGACAUAUAAAAUGCUUUUCUAUGCACAGCUAAGAGAGAAUACCAUCAGAAUCCAUACAACAGAUUAUUAAAUGAAAUCAAGCAGAACAUAAAUAAAAAGACAAAACAAUCUAAAUUUAAACACCCGUUAAAGAACCCACAUUAUCCAAUAAUAACUUGAUUCAUAUAAGAAACUGCAAAUUAAUUAGAUAAUACUAAAUACAAAUGGCAUAAGACUGUGGGUAUACAGGUACCAUAAGCAUAACAUAACAUAAGUCAAUGAAAAGUGCCUGAAAUGUAUUGCAAUAUGGCAUAUCCAUGCUAGAGUUUGGUGAAAGAAAAGCGGGUGUGGGUGUUUGAAGACACAAGAGUCCUGCGGGAGUUUGGAGGAUGACGUGAUGUUUUAGAGAUGGUGGACUGAAGCUCAGUAUAGGUUGUGUGUGUGCGCGUGUAUGUGUGUGUUUAGUUCUAUUCACCACUCUAACGGAAUACAAAGCAGGUGUUUCUCUGUGUGCCUGAAAGAGCCUGGAAUUUCACAGAGAACUGGCUAUAUACACACAGCAGUCUGACAGAGCUGCCCCCCUACUCCCGACAGCCCCCAUCUGCUCCUUGUCUACUACAGUAGUUUCCGUUGGAUCUGCAUAUCAACAGGCACCAAGGAAAUUCUUGCCAAGGAUUUCAUUGGCAUGGCAACCGCAACAAUGGAAGGCCAGGAGGCCCAGCCACUCACUAAAGUCACAGAGGUUUUGGAGGACUAGGGCUUUAGGAAAAGGGGGAUGCAGAACAAAAAAGAAUACAAAGACAAGCAUCCAGACCCCCAUCUUCGUGCCUACCAGUGAGGAUUUUGUUCACCUCAUGUUUGGAUCAUUGCAUCCAUUAACUGUAUACAGAAGGGCGCCCUCUAAUGUUUUACAGAAUGUGAGGUAAUGGUUACAACAUAUUUCUGUAGACUGAACUGAAUGGUUACAACAUAUUUCUGUAGACUGAACAAAUGCUAAACUGUAGGAAUAAGACCAAAGGUACUGUAGUUAUGAUCAACAAUUUUAGAAAGGAAAAUUUGUAAUGGAAAUUUAGAUUAUUUUUAUGGGGUGCAGGUCUUUAACCUUGCCACCUUUUAUACUCUCACCUGAUGU